AUCUGACUGACGAGUCACAAAUAUGGCGGAAUGCGCAUCCUAGGAU
rfam:Schistosoma curassoni strain Dakar, Senegal genome assembly, scaffold: SCTD_scaffold0010726